CCGGGACUCACUGCUCCUGCAGUGGCUUUGUGGAAGAGCCUCCCCCAUGGUAUGGGGCAGCGGGGAUCACCCCCCACUGGCAUGAGUGAUGGGAAUUGACCAUGGAAUGAUAUGCUGAUGGCCAUUGUUAGAUGGUCCCUUUGAAGAUAAUUGUCUCCCAAAGGAUGCAUAUUUUACUGUCUUGGCUGUCUUGCUGCUUGCCAGGCUCAGUUUUCGUAGGUUGAGUUUGUCUCCAAAUAUUGCCAGGCAACUGCAAUGCAUCAGAAAAGAAUCCUGCCGACAUUUACCUGGGUUCCUCAGCGCUGAUGGACUUGGCAGCUGUGCUAAACCUAGCAAAUACAUUUAAUGUAUAGCGAAGACUGGAGAAAGAGAAUAUCAUUUUAUAUGGUCAUUUUUCUGAGUAGGAGCUCGCUUGAUAUUUAGAUGUUGUUCUUUAUCAUAGUAACACCAUAGAUCCCAUGCUCCAUGCUUUAACACGGGGAGAGGCAGCCCCUGCUCAAAACAGUUUACAAUAUACAUAGACAGAGUAGAAUGGGAAAUGGAGGCAUGAUGAAUUGCCCAAUAGUACUCUGCAGGCCAGUAGCUGAGCUGGGAAUAAAACUUAGGUUUCCUGAUUCUUGAUCCAGCGAUCUGCUAACUAGGACAUGCAGUUGCUUCUCACACUGCUCUUCGUUAAGCUGUCAUCAGCCUUAGCAGAGAUGGGAAGCCCACUAGCAAUGCAUUACAUCAGCAUAGCUUUAACAUCAUAGGCCACAGAGGCAUAUCGAGGCGUCCACCUUGUCCCUGUCUCUCUUGGCAGAUUUCCACAAUGAAGGCUCCAAGGAUGUUGAUUAAAUUAUUAUGAGAUUUUAUUCGGAGAUGCUUGAUAUAUUAUUCAAAGUCAGAUGUGCCUGGGGUUUAUAUAUCAGAAUAUCUGAUUCGCUUUUUCAAAGGAUAUGGCACUAUAUCAGGAUGCUAGAGCCAGGAGCCAAAGAACAACCCUGUCCAAUUGUAUAAUCACUUUGAAAGCUUAAAUAUUAAAUGAACACAUUUUUGGA